rnacentral:rRNA from 1 species
UACGGAGGGGGCGAGCGUUAUCCGGAUUUACUGGGUGUAAAGGGAGCGCAGGCGGCGUGGCAAGUCAGAUGUGAAAACCCGGGGCCCAACCCCGGGAGUGCAUUUGAAACUGCCAUGCUGGAGUGCCGGAGAGGGAAGCGGAAUUCCUAGUGUAGCGGUGAAAUGCGUAGAUAUUAGGAGGAACACCAGUGGCGAAAGCGCUUUACUGGACCAUUAUUGACGCUGAGGAACGAAAGCCAGGGGAGCAAAUGGG